rnacentral:rRNA from 1 species
UACGUAGGGGGCAAGCGUUGUCCGGAAUUACUGGGCGUAAAGAGCUCGUAGGUGGUUUGUCGCGUUGUUCGUGAAAACUCACAGCUCAACUGUGGGCGUGCGGGCGAUACGGGCAGACUGGAGUACUGCAGGGGAGACUGGAAUUCCUGGUGUAGCGGUGGAAUGCGCAGAUAUCAGGAGGAACACCGGUGGCGAAGGCGGGUCUCUGGGCAGUAACUGACGCUGAGGAGCGAAAGUGUGGGGAGCGAACAGG